AGUGAACGCUGGCGGUAGGCCUAACACAUGCAAGUCGAACGGCAGCACAGUAAGAGCUUGCUCUUACGGGUGGCGAGUGGCGGACGGGUGAGGAAUACAUCGGAAUCUACUUUUUCGUGGGGGAUAACGUAGGGAAACUUACGCUAAUACCGCAUACGACCUACGGGGGAAAGCAGGGGAUCUUCGGACCUUGCGCGAUUGAAUGAGCCGAUGUCGGAUUAGCUAGUUGGCGGGGUAAAGGCCCACCAAGGCGACGAUCCGUAGCUGGUCUGAGAGGAUGAUCAGCCACACUGGAACUGAGACACGGUCCAGACUCCUACGGGAGGCAGCAGUGGGGAAUAUUGGACAAUGGGCGCAAGCCUGAUCCAGCCAUACCGCGUGGGUGAAGAAGGCCUUCGGGUUGUAAAGCCCUUUUGUUGGGAAAGAAAAGCAGCAGGUUAAUACCCCGCUGUUCUGACGGUACCCAAAGAAUAAGCACCGGCUAACUUCGUG
rnacentral:rRNA from 1 species